rnacentral:rRNA from 1 species
AGCAGUGGGGAAUUUUGGACAUUGGGCGCAAGCCUGAUCCAGCAAUACCGCGUGAGUGAAGAAGGCCUUCGGGUUGUAAAGCUCUUUUGUCAGGGAAGAAACGGUGAAGGCUAAUAUCCUUUGCUAAUGACGGUACCUGAAGAAUAAGCACCGGCUAACUACGUGCCAGCAGCCGCGGUAAUACGUAGGGUGCAAGCGUUAAUCGGAAUUACUGGGCGUAAAGCGUGCGCAGGCGGUUUUGUAAGUUUGUCGUGAAAGCCCCGGGCUCAACCUGGGAAUUGCGAUGAAGACUGCAAGGCUUGAAUCUGGCAGAGGGGGGUAGAAUUCCACGUGUAGCAGUGAAAUGCGUAGAGAUGUGGAGGAACACCGAUGGCGAAGGCAGCCCCCUGGGUCAAGAUUGACGCUCAUG